AGACCCGAAACCCGGUGAUCUAGCCAUGGGCAGGUUGAAGGUUGGGUAACACUAACUGGAGGACCGAACCGACUAAUGUUGAAAAAUUAGCGGAUGACCUGUGGCUGGGGGUGAAAGGCCAAUCAAACCGGGAGAUAGCUGGUUCUCCCCGAAAGCUAUUUAGGUAGCGCCUCGUGAAUUCAUCUCCGGGGGUAGAGCACUGUUUCGGCUAGGGGGCCAUCCCGGCUUACCAACCCGAUGCAAACUGCGAAUACCGGAGAAUGUUAUCACGGGAGACACACGGCGGGUGCUAACGUCCGUCGUGAAGAGGGAAACAACCCAGACCGCCAGCUAAGGUCCCAAAGUCAUGGUUAAGUGGGAAACGAUGUGGGAAGGCCCAGACAGCCAGGAUGUUGGCUUAGAAGCAGCCAUCAUUUAAAGAAAGCGUAAUAGCUCACUGGUCGAGUCGGCCUGCGCGGAAGAUGUAACGGGGCUAAACCAUGCACCGAAGCUGCGGCAGCGACACUCAGGUGUUGUUGGGUAGGGGAGCGUUCUGUAAGCCUGUGAAGGUGGCCUGUG
rnacentral:rRNA from 2 species